CCUACGGGAGUCUGCAGUGGGGAAUAUUGCACAAUGGGGGAAACCCUGAUGCAGCGACGCCGCGUGAGUGAAGAAGUAUUUCGGUAUGUAAAGCUCUAUCAGCAGGGAAGUAAAUGACGGUACCUGACUAAGAAGCCCCGUCUAACUACGUGCCAGCAGCCGUGGUAAUACGUAGGGGGCAAGCGUUAUCCGGAUUUACUGGGUGUAAAGGGAGCGUAGGCGGCAGAGCAAGUCAGAAGUGAAAGGCCGGGGGCCAACGGCGGGACUGCUUUGGAAACUGCCCGGCUAGAGUGCUGGAGAGGUAAGCGGAAUUCGUGGUGUAGCGGUGAAAUGCGUAGAUAUUAGGAAGAACACCGAUGGCGAAGGCAGCUUACUGGACAGUAACUGACGUUGAGGCUCGAAAGCGUGGGGAGCAAACAGGAUUAGAUACCCCAGUAGUC
rnacentral:rRNA from 1 species